rnacentral:rRNA from 1 species
GAUGAACGCUGGCGGCGUGCCUAAUACAUGCAAGUCGAGCGAACGGACGAGAAGCUUGCUUCUCUGAUGUUAGCGGCGGACGGGUGAGUAACACGUGUAUAACCUACCUAUAAGACUGGGAAAACUUCGGGAAACCGGCGCUUAUACCGGAUAAUAUUUUGAACCGCAUGGUUCAAAAGUGAAAGACGGUCUUGCUGUCACUUAUAGAUGGUUCCGCGCUGCAUUAGCUAGUUGGUGAGGUAACGGCUUACCAAGGCAACGAUGCAUAGCCGACCUGAGAGGGUGAUCGGCCACACUGGAAGUGAGACACGGUCCAGACUCCUACGGGAGGCAGCAGUAGGGAAUCUUCCGCAAUGGGCGAAAGCCUGACGGAGCAACGCCGCGUGAGUGAUGAAGGUCUUCGGGUCGUAAAACUCUGUUAUUGGGGAAGAACAUAUGUGUAAGUAACUGUGCACAUCUUGACGGUACCUGAUCAGAAAGCCACGGCUAACUACGUG